UCAAAAUUGUUAAACUAAUGACCAACCUGUUUCUCUGUGUUCAGGUCAUGUCUAUUUUUACUAGAAAUGAGAACCAUUGCUUCUCGAAGGAAAAAAAGGGUGAAGAAUGCGUGAUUCCUUUCCAUCUGCCUCCCUCCAGCAAGGCAAUCAUCAGGUCUCUUAUGUGCUGAACUGUGUCCUCCCAAAAUUCAUAUGUUGAAGUCC